rnacentral:lncRNA from 1 species
UUGUACAGAGAAGGAAAAUGAGUCAGGAUUGGGUGCCUUUUUCCAGUCUGCCUGCCAACUUUCUCCACCUUGCUCUGCCCCCUAGGACUGUGGGAACUACGUCUAUGGGUGCCCUUACCCUCUGCCUUGGUCACUGGGGAGCGCCGAUAGCUUAUGGGAGGCAGAGAGGAGAGUGAGGUCAGGGCACUUAACCUCCUGUGGGGCAGCCACAGCCUGGCUGCAUCCCUCCAUGAGGCCACAGCUGCUGCCAGGCAGCCCUAUCUACUCAGCUCCAGAGCUCUGCAGGUCCAGUGACCUCCCCUGGGGCCAUCAGGUCCAGCAUCAGGAAAGCCUGAUGCUCUUGGUCCAGGUUCCUGCAAUCCUUUUCCAAGACCUUUGACAAUAGUCUCCUUAUUGAAUACUUCUCAAAUCCCCCAGUUUGAGUAUGUUGACGGCUUCCUCCUGGGACCCUGCAUUAUCCAUACCAUCCAGCCAGUUGAUCAGCAAGGACUCCUGGGUCUGCCAAGUCACUACAGACUGCAGCUGGGCUAUAGGAGGGGGUGCCCCUUUCUAAUUCCUGCUCUUUUUUCUGGCUCUGCUCAUACCCUCAUCCAUGUACCCCCUAUUUCCCUGCUUUGCCUCCCACCCCAACCUACAGUGCUUCCCCUGCCAGAUGUCUGGGGAUGUUUAGAAGAGGAGAGUCACAGCCAAACAACUGCUUCUCCACCCCAGCCACCCUGAUGCAUCCGGGAAGUGGUGCUCACUGGGAUCUGAGUUCUUAGGCGUCAUAGGGCAGUCAUGGAGGCCCUGGGUCCUUGAGACAGGUGUCCUGGAAGCCAGUGCACGGAAGCAGGGUGAUUUCACAUUGCUGGAAGAGUCCUCUUCUCUGGGGACCCUUCGCCAGUAAAACCCACCCUCUCACCUACUCACUCACUUGCAAUUCAGAGAGGCUGGCUCACCACCAGGCCCACCCCAAGGGAUCUGUGUAUCACUUCCUGUGGGAGGCUCUCCCUGGCACCCGGCGGAGGCUGGCUGCCCAUCGCAUGCUCCCAGCACAUCCCGUCUCUCCUCAUGCUGUAACCCUUAUCACACUGACAUGGCUU